CUGGCGGCGUGCUUAACACAUGCAAGUCGAACGGAAAGGCCCUGCUUUUGUGGGGUGCUCGAGUGGCGAACGGGUGAGUAACACGUGAGUAACCUGCCCUUGACUUUGGGAUAACUUCAGGAAACUGGGGCUAAUACCGGAUAGGAGCUCCUGCUGCAUGGUGGGGGUUGGAAAGUUUCGGCGGUUGGGGAUGGACUCGCGGCUUAUCAGCUUGUUGGUGGGGUAGUGGCUUACCAAGGCUUUGACGGGUAGCCGGCCUGAGAGGGUGACCGGCCACAUUGGGACUGAGAUACGGCCCAGACUCCUACGGGAGGCAGCAGUGGGGAAUAUUGCACAAUGGGCGGAAGCCUGAUGCAGCAACGCCGCGUGCGGGAUGACGGCCUUCGGGUUGUAAACCGCUUUCGCCUGUGACGAAGCGUGAGUGACGGUAAUGGGUAAAGAAGCACCGGCUAACUACGUGCCAGCAGCCGCGGUGAUACGUAGGGUGCGAGCGUUGUCCGGAUUUAUUGGGCGUAAAGGGCUCGUAGGUGGUUGAUCGCGUCGGAAGUGUAAUCUUGGGGCUUAACCCUGAGCGUGCUUUCGAUACGGGUUGACUUGAGGAAGGUAGGGGAGAAUGGAAUUCCUGGUGGAGCGGUGGAAUGCGCAGAUAUCAGGAGGAACACCAGUGGCGAAGGCGGUUCUCUGGGCCUUUCCUGACGCUGAGGAGCGAAAGCGUGGGGAGCGAACAGGCUUAGAUACCCCUGGUAGUCCACGCUGUAAACGGUGGGUACUAGGUGUGGGGUCCAUUCCACGGGUUCCGUGCCGUAGCUAACGCUUUAAGUACCCCGCCUGGGGAGUACGGCCGCAAGGCUAAAACUCAAAGGAAUUGACGGGGCCCCGCACAAGCGGCGGAGCAUGCGGAUUAAUUCGAUGCAACGCGUAGAACCUUACCUGGGUUUGACAUGGAUCGGGAGUGCUCAGAGAUGGGUGUGCCUCUUUUGGGGUCGGUUCACAGGUGGUGCAUGGCUGUCGUCAGCUCGUGUCGUGAGAUGUUGGGUUAAGUCCCGCAACGAGCGCAACCCUUGUUCACUGUUGCCAGCACGUUAUGGUGGGGACUCAGUGGAGACCGCCGGGGUCAACUCGGAGGAAGGUGGGGAUGACGUCAAGUCAUCAUGCCCCUUAUGUCCAGGGCUUCACGCAUGCUACAAUGGCUGGUACAGAGAGUGGCGAGCCUGUGAGGGUGAGCGAAUCUCGGAAAGCCGGUCUCAGUUCGGAUUGGGGUCUGCAACCCGACCUCAUGAAGUCGGAGUCGCUAGUAAUCGCAGAUCAGCAACGCUGCGGUGAAUACGUUCCCGGGGCUUGUACACACCGCCCGUCAAGUCAUGAAAGUUGGUAACACCCGAAGCCGGUGGCCUAACCGUUGUGGGGGAGCCGUCGAAGGUGGGACUGGUGAUUAGGACU
rnacentral:rRNA from 1 species